AUUGAACGCUGGCGGCAUGCCUAACACAUGCAAGUCGAGCGGAGCGGCGGACGGGUGAGUAAUGCCUAGGAAUCUGCCUGGUAGCGGGGAUAGCGUACAGAAACGGGAGCUAAUACCGCAUCCUAUCAGAUGAGCCUAGUUCGGAUUAGCUAGUGGGUGGGGUAAAGGCCUACCACGGCGACGCUCCGUACCUGGUCUGAGAGGAUGAUCAGUCACACUGGAACUGAGACACGGUCCAGACUCCUACGGGAGUCAGCAGUGGGGAAUAUUGGACAAUGGGCGAAAGCCUGAUCCAGCCAUGCCGCGUGUGUGAAGAAGGUCUUCGGAUUGUAAAGCACUUUAAGUUGGGAGGCGUUACCAACAGAAUAAGCACCGACUAACUUCGUGCCAGCAGCCGCGGUAAUAC
rnacentral:rRNA from 1 species